UAACCUUUCAUAAGAGGAAAAGGAGGAAGUAACCAGACUUGCUGUGUCAUGGGACCUUCCUGGGUUUUCUGAACACCACCGGAAAUGGCUGUUUAAUAGGUUGCUGCAACACGCUGUUUUGUAUAGGACUAAAUGUCAAAUAAAGCAGCCGAGGCGUGGAAUCAAAGAAACCAAUGUUUGGUCAUUGAUCACGGCACGAGAAGAUGCAAUUAAAGUUGUCUUCCCAAGGGCGUGUUAAGUUCAGUAUGGUCCAGAGGUUUAUCCUUUACCUGAUUAGACACAAGUUCUGUCUCUUAUACAGUGUUUGAGUUUGUUACAUUUUAUUUGUAGGUCAUUCUUCAGCACAUUGCUUGGCCUGUUGCUGAUUCUGAUGAUGAUGACGACGAAAGUUUGCACCCUGAAAUUGUCACUCGUCAAAUUACUUUUCUUCGGGAAUAUAUUCAGGAAGCCACCUCAGACCAGCUGCAGAAGCUCAUGUCAUUUUGGACUGGAUGGGAGGUUCCAUCUAACAGUCUGCAGGUUAAUGUGUGUAAGGGAAAAUUCUUCAAGGCCUCCACGUGCAGCCGGACGCUAAUGCUUCCUGCUGACAUACUAACAAUGGAUGAGUUUUCUUCUACUUUGCAAGCUUGUGCAAACACAGCAUCUACUGGAUUUGGAUUGGUUUAACACUUUCAGAAUAUGAUUCUGAUGAUGUUCUACUCAGAGUUAGUUUUGACUUUGAAGAAAUAACAUUCAAAUUUCUUGAUGUUCCAAAAUCAUUUACUUUAAUUGCACAGUUUGCAUGUUAAAAAUUUCUUAAAAUCUAUUUUAAAGGUCACUAACCUGAAUCCACAUACUGAAAAGAUCUGUUACCGUCCUGUUUUUAGAUGCAGUUAAUACUAAAUAAACACAU